CAGUCGACGGUACAGGUCUUCGGAUGCUGACGAGUGGCGAACGGGUGAGUAAUACAUCGGAACGUGCCUAGUAGUGGGGGAUAACUACUCGAAAGAGUAGCUAAUACCGCAUGAGAUCUACGGAUGAAAGCAGGGGACCUUCGGGCCUUGUGCUACUAGAGCGGCUGAUGGCAGAUUAGGUAGUUGGUGGGGUAAAGGCUUACCAAGCCUGCGAUCUGUAGCUGGUCUGAGAGGACGACCAGCCACACUGGGACUGAGACACGGCCCAGACUCCUACGGGAGGCAGCAGUGGGGAAUUUUGGACAAUGGGCGAAAGCCUGAUCCAGCAAUGCCGCGUGCAGGAUGAAGGCCCUCGGGUUGUAAACUGCUUUUGUACGGAACGAAAAGCCUGGGGCUAAUAUCCUCGGGUCAUGACGGUACCGUAAGAAUAAGCACCGGCUAACUACGUGCCAGCAGCCGCGGUAAUACGUAGGGUGCAAGCGUUAAUCGGAAUUACUGGGCGUAAAGCGUGCGCAGGCGGUUUUGUAAGACAGUGGUGAAAUCCCCGGGCUCAACCUGGGAACUGCCAUUGUGACUGCAAGGCUAGAGUGCGGCAGAGGGGGAUGGAAUUCCGCGUGUAGCAGUGAAAUGCGUAGAUAUGCGGAGGAACACCGAUGGCGAAGGCAAUCCCCUGGGCCUGCACUGACGCUCAUGCACGAAGCGUGGGGAGCAACAGGAUUAGAUACCCUGGUAGUCCACGCCCUAAACGAUGUCAACUGGUU
rnacentral:rRNA from 1 species